rnacentral:lncRNA from 1 species
GGAAACUUUCUGAAAGAUGGCGGCUGAGGAACUGCAGAGUUGAGAGGUAGCCGUAGGUCUGCAGCACCAGAUUCCUGCGACACUGCAGCAGCCAGGGAGAAGAGAAGAAACAACAGAGAGCCCUGCCUCCCCUGGCUUCAGGGUGACACCAGGACUCUGUGGAAUGACUUUUUUUUAGUUUAGUACAAACUCAGGACUGCCCCUGGGUGAAAAAUACCUUUCUUCUCAGAUUAACCCAAGCUGUAACCACCCCACAACGUGAAGAGUGCUGUCUCCUUAGCUGUGGCUGAAGAGCUCCUCGUGGAUGCAGGGAGCUGAUCUAUUCCAAAAGGUUCACCUGACUGAAGUCUCCACCUAGGUCUUUGCAUCUGCUGAUCCACCCGCAAGCUUGCAGGAAUAUAGGGGACACACCGGCUCUCUAGAACUGAAACCGAGUUUUCUCAGAAACACUGAAUUUGCCCAUCAAUAGAAGGAAGUCUGUGUGCUCACACCUGACAGGCACCUGUUCUCAUGAACAUCACUCCUGAAACAGGAAAACGAUUUUACUCUUCCCUGGUGGGAAAGGGAUCUGUCUUCCUCCUCAUCCCAAAUCCAUUCUCAAAUCAAAUCUAAGAAUAUGAAACAGGAGGAAGCUAGAAUUCUGAUCUCUAAGGAG